CAUGCAAGUCGUGCGAGAAAGUAUCUUCGGAUAUGAGUAGAGCGGCGGACGGGUGAGUAACGCGUAGGAAUCUACCUAGUAGAAGGGGAUAGCCCGGGGAAACCCGGAUUAAUACCGUAUACCUCCUUCGGGAGAAAGAAGGCCUCUCUUUGAAGCUUUCGCUAUUAGAUGAGCCUGCGUAAGAUUAGCUUGUUGGUGAGGUAAAGGCUCACCAAGGCGACGAUCUUUAGCUGGUCUGAGAGGACGAUCAGCCACAUUGGGACUGAGACACGGCCCAGACUCCUACGGGAGGCAGCAGUGGGGAAUAUUGGACAAUGGGCGCAAGCCUGAUCCAGCCAUACCGCGUGUGUGAAGAAGGCCUUCGGGUUGUAAAGCACUUUAAGCAGGGAGAAAAAGUUAUAAGUUAAUACCUUAUAACCGUGAUGUUACCUGCAGAAUAAGCACCGGCUAAUUCCGUGCCAGCAGCCGCGGUAAUACGGAAGGUGCAAGCGUUAAUCGGAAUUACUGGGCGUAAAGCGCGCGUAGGUGGUUUGUUAAGUUGGAUGUGAAAGCCCUGGGCUCAACCUAGGAACUGCAUCCAAAACUAACUCACUAGAGUAC
rnacentral:rRNA from 1 species